CUAUAAUGGAUCAUGAUGGUCUAUUUGAUGAUGAGGAUUUCUUUAGCAAUCCAAUGGACUCUUUUUCCACCCUUCGGGAUAUUGAAGAUAUGGUGAUUUUUGGAACCAACUCCUCUCAAGAAGAUGGGACAACUAGGUAGGAAAGUGGUUUGGUAAACCCUAGUGAGGAGGUUGUUACUUUCAUUUGGCCUAAAGUUUCUCCAAGCAGGGACAAAGGCAAGGAAGUGUUGGUUGUUGGCGAUGCCUUUGGUGUACACUCCGGUGGUCCUCUUCUAUUGAUGUUUUUAUCACAUAGGAAAGCUAAGGUAACUGAAGAGAAUUUUCAAUAUAACUUAAUUGUUGCUAGUGUCUUGUGUAUAGCUAUGGAGGCUGGGAAAGAAGGUGACCUUGAUAUGAUUCGAGAAAAUUGUGAGGAGUUUGAGGAGGAGUAUAUAAAUGAGCUAUCAGACCUCAUGGCCUUAGACUAAUUCCAAAGUGGGUAUGAAGGGGUUCUUUGACAAGAAAGCUUAUCAAUUAGGUCUUGAACAUAUCCACAAAAGUGGUGGGCUACGGUCUUGAUGUUCUCAAUAGGGUGAUUUUGAUGGUGACAUGAAACUGAGCCCCGGUACUUACUGCAGUAAGAGAGUAUACAUCCACAAGCCGACCUAGUUGGGGUGGCGUGGAGAACUCGGUUGAGGUACCACCCUUUCAGGAGGUGCGUAGAGGACCUAAAAGGAGUGUAUGGUUGGGUUGUCUGGAGUCACCACACGGGUUCCCCAACGGCCAUCGCCAAGAGGUACAGGAUCCUAAGGUUGUUGAGCUUGAGACUAGUGGUGUACGGCCAGUUCUAGGAUGGAUCCACUAGUGCUGUUGUUUUGUGAAUUUUAUAUUUUUGAAAAGUAUUUAUUCCUUUUGUAUUGUUGUAUAAUAUUAAAUUGUAAAUUCUUAUAUGUUUUCAUUUAGUUAUCUUAUUUAAAAUUGAUUUUUGAGUGUUUUAAAAAUUGUUCGAGAUCAAUGUGGAAUUCAUGAGAUGGAAUUGGGUUGAUGCAUGCAAAGUGUUUGAUAUAAUGC